AAAAAAUAAAAAAAAAUAAAAAAAAACAGUCCAAGUCAAUAGGCAGACUAACAGUGAGAGCUGAUGGUGAAGAAAAGUUGACCCACUGGAGGCACUGGGAAAUACUUUAAAGACUGACUCCUGUCAGGCACCAGUUUGCUGUGAAGUUGAAUGCAUAUAGUGAAUAGAAUGUUUAUUUCUUGGUCGAUUGUUAUUCUAAAGUGCCUGAAACUUUUAUGAGGAGAUAAUUAAAAGAAUUUAAAAACCCACAAGCCUACACCGGUGCCCAGCUUUUCAUACCACCAACACAGAUUCUUUUGAGUUUGACCUCAUAAUGGGUUCUUAGGGUACUUUUUGUCAUAAUAACCAUGCUGUCUUUGUUUUUCUGAAACUGAAUUCUCCAGUUACUAUAAGCAAGAUCUCAGCUGUGCACAUACAUGCCCUGUUCAUACACACUUCCUAUAGCCCUGAUUCAAUUUUCAUUUUGUACAUUUUGGAAGAGCAAUCUAACAAAACUUACAUUUGGUGAAAAGAAAUACUAAAAAGAAAUAAGUUCAUCUGAUGUUUUGUUUACUUGCACAGCAUCAAGCGUACGGAGCCAGACUAAAGGUUCUUCUUGCCUUGAAUCAUCUCUUCAUAGGUGUUAGAUGUGGAUGCCCAAGGAUGAGAACCCUGAAAACAAACUAGCUGCUAAGGAGUGUGCCUGGCAGGUACCAGCGAGUUAGAAGUAUGUGAUUAUGUUCUUACGAAAGAUACUGAGUCAAAAACUUCAGAAUCCAAGUACUGAUAUUCACUGGAGGCAGAUCCCAGUAGAAGAGUCUUCAACCUGGUUGCACCUGUGAGGCUGCUCGAUUGAAU
rnacentral:lncRNA from 1 species